rnacentral:rRNA from 1 species
UUGAGGAAUAUUGCGCAAUGGAGGCAACUCUGACGCAGCCAUGCCGCGUGCAGGAAGAAGGCGCUACGCGUUGUAAACUGCUUUUAACCGGGAAGAAACCCCAGGACGUGUCCUGGGUUGACGGUACCGGAGGAAUAAGCACCGGCUAACUUCGUGCCAGCAGCCGCGGUAAUACGAAGGGUGCAAGCGUUAUCCGGAUUCAUUGGGUUUAAAGGGUGCGUAGGCGGAGCGGUAAGUCAGUGGUGAAAUCCUGCAGCUUAACUGUAGACUUGCCAUUGAUACUGGCGCUCUUGAGUGCGCUUGAAGUGGGCGGAAUGUGCCGUGUAGCGGUGAAAUGCUUAGAUAUGGCACAGAACACCAAUUGCGAAGGCAGCUCACUAAGGCGAUACUGACGCUGAGGCACGAAAGCGUGGGGAUCGAACAGGAUUAGAAACCCCAGUAGUCC